AACUCACUAGUUUUGAGAUUUUAUAAAAAUGAGUCACUAUUUUAGAUUUCAGUGAUUAGGCACGAAUUUUUAAUAAACUGAUCAAAAUAUUUUCAUCUUUUUUCUCUCAUUUUUUUUUCCUGCUCGUUUAUUUUUCUCCUUAUGCUCCCGUUUGUCUUCGUCCUCGCUGUUUCUCUCUUCUUCUGCUUCCUCUUGCUUCUCCUCCUCCUCCACCACCCCUACAUCGAUGUCGCGUUCUCUCCUUUUUUUUCUCACUCAUUUAUUUUUCUCCUUCUGCUCUUGUUUAUGUCUCUCCUCGUCGAUUCUUCCUCUCUUUCUCCCGUUUCCUCUCUCUCCUCCUCCUCUAUUGUCCCUAUAUCGACACCACACUCCGCUCUCUUACCUCGCCUGCAGCUUUACCGUCGCCAGCUAGGAUAUGGUAUAGAUUGCAUAGGUGAGCUUGUGGCGGAGCACAAAGCUGCAAAUGAUGACGGCGAUGAGAGUACCGAAAGAUUUUAGCAGGACAGAAGGGAGAGCACAUCGGGCGGGGGGUUGGCUGCGGCAGAGCGCGACGGAGGGCGAAGAAGGGGCACGAUAGCGAAAAAAGAUAUAAAGGGUGAAAAAAUGAGGAAAAAGACUGAAAAGAAAAAAUAUAUAUUUUUUAAUCUUGUGAGGAAAAAAAUAUAGGGAAAACUUUAAAUAUCCCAUGUGGCUUCGCACUUUCUCACUUUAAUACCCUGUGUGGUUUAAAAUGUAUCAAGUUAGUACCUUGUGGUUUCGCACUUUUUCACUUUAGUAUCCUGUGGUUUAAAGUAUAUCAAGUUACUACCCUGUGGUUUCGCACUUACUCACUUUAGUACCAUGUGAUUUAAUAUUUCGUUAAAUUAUAUACAAAAAACUUCAGAUACCCUAACUAGGUUUAUCGAAUAUUCAUUUUAGCACCCUUUAAUUUUAAUUUUGUCACUGAUUUAACGAAAAAAAUACCUUGAAAUGGAUAAUAAAAAAAGAAAAAUGAAACCACGAUGUACUAACUUAAUACAAAAAUGAAACCACAAAGUACCAACUUGAUAUACUUUAAACCACAGAAUACUAAAGUAAGAAAGUGCAAAACCACUAGGUACUAAUUUGAUACACUUUAAACCACAGGGUACUAAAGUGGGUACUAAAGUGAGAAAGUGCGAAACUAUAGAGAGGGUAUUUGAAGUUUUUCCAAAAAUAUAUAUUGCUACAGGAAAUACCAAAAAUUAGAGAAGAAAGAAGAAGGAGCUGAAGUUACACUGUUUAAAGUUACACUUUUAAGAUGAAAAUUGCACUCUUUCCGGCGAAAAUUGCACUCUUUAAGCAAAAGUCGUACUGUUUGAAUGAAAUUUAAGCGAAAGUUAUACUGUUUGAAAUAAAACUUGUACUAUUCGAACAAAAGUUGUACUCUUUAAGUAAAAAUUGCACUAUUUAAAACGAAAGCUAUAGUUUUUAACAAUGUACUAAUAAAAUUUAAUUCUAUGAAUAUAUUUAAAAAAGUUUGAAACUCUAUAAGGAUACUUUUCAGAAUAACAUAACUUUAUAAUGGUGAUUUUUAUAUUAGCCUUUUAAGAAAAAUAAAUAUGAAAGACAUGAAAGUUAUAGGA
rnacentral:lncRNA from 1 species